rnacentral:rRNA from 1 species
GAUGAACGCUGGCUACAGGCUUAACACAUGCAAGUCGAGGGGAAACGGCAUUGAGUGCUUGCACUGAAUGGACGUCGACCGGCGCACGGGUGAGUAACGCGUAUCCAACCUUCCCGUUACUGCGGGAUAACCUGCCGAAAGGCAGACUAAUACCGCAUGUUCUUCGAUGACGGCAUCAGAUUCGAAGCAAAGAUCCGUCGGUAACGGAGGGGGAUGCGUCUGAUUAGCUGGUUGGCGGGGCGACGGCCCACCAAGGCGACGAUCAGUAGGGGUUCUGAGAGGAAGGUCCCCCACAUUGGAACUGAGACACGGUCCAAACUCCUACGGGAGGCAGCAGUGAGGAAUAUUGGUCAAUGGGCGGAAGCCUGAACCAGCCAAGUAGCGUGCAGGAGGACGGCCCUACGGGUUGUAAACUGCUUUUAUGCGGGGAUAAAGUGAGGGACGCGUCCCUUUUUGCAGGUACCGCAUGAAUAAGGACCGGCUAAUUCCGUGCCAGCAGCCGCGGUAAUACGGAAGGUCCGGGCGUUAUCCGGAUUUAUUGGGUUUAAAGGGAGCGUAGGCCGGGGAUUAAGUGUGUUGUGAAAUGUAGGCGCCCAACGUCUGACUUGCAGCGCAUACUGGUUCCCUUGAGUACGCGCAACGCCGGCGGAAUUCGUCGUGUAGCGGUGAAAUGCUUAGAUAUGACGAAGAACUCCGAUUGCGAAGGCAGCUUGCGGGAGCACAACUGACGCUGAAGCUCGAAAGUGCGGGUAUCGAACAGG